CGGAUUAGGCAUGCAAGUCGAACGCGAAAGUUCCUUCGGGAAUUAGUAGCGUGGCGAAAGGGGCAGUAAUGCAUAGGUAACCUACCCUUCGGACCGGGAUAUACGGUGGAAACGCCGGGCAAUACUGGACAUCGUCAUUGGAUGGCAUCAUUCGAUGAUGAAAUGAUUUAUCGCCGAGGGAGGGGCUUAUGUUCUACCAGCUUGUUGGUGAGGUAACGGCUCACCAAGGCUACGACGGAUAGGGGGUGUGAGAGCACGACCCCCGCCACUGGGACUGAGAUACUGCCCAGACUCCUACGGGAGGCUGCAGUCGAGAAUCUUCGGCAAUGGGGGAAACCCUGACCGAGCGACGUCGCGUGGUGGAUGAAGGCCUUCGGGUUGUAAACACCUGUUGGGGGGAAACAAUACUGAGUGAACCCCUGAGGAAGCACGGGCUAAGUUCGUGCCAGCAGCCGCGGUAAUA
rnacentral:rRNA from 1 species